GACGAAGGGGGCUAGCGUUGUUCGGAAUUACUGGGCGUAAAGCGUACGCAGGCGGCUUUGCAAGACAGGUGUGAAAUCCCCGGGCCUAACCUGGGAACUGCAUUUGUGACUGCAUGGCUAGAGUUUGUCAGAGGGGGGUGGAACUCCACGUGUAGCAGUGAAAUGCGUAGAUAUGUGGAGGAACACCGAUGGCGAAGGCAGCCCCCUGGGAUGUGACUGACGCUCAUGUACGAAAGCGUGGGGAGCAAACAGG
rnacentral:rRNA from 1 species